AAUGGGCGCAAGCCUGAUCCAGCAAUGCCGCGUGCAGGAAGAAGGCCUUCGGGUUGUAAACUGCUUUUGUACGGAACGAAAAGGCUCUGGUUAAUACCUGGGGCUCAUGACGGUACCGUAAGAAUAAGCACCGGCUAACUACGUGCCAGCAGCCGCGGUAAUACGUAGGGUGCAAGCGUUAAUCGGAAUUACUGGGCGUAAAGCGUGCGCAGGCGGUUAUGUAAGACAGAGGUGAAAUCCCCGGGCUCAACCUGGGAACUGCCUUUGUGACUGCAUAGCUGGAGUACGGCAGAGGGGGAUGGAAUUCCGCGUGUAGCAGUGAAAUGCGUAGAUAUGCGGAGGAACACCGAUGGCGAAGGCAAUCCCCUGGGCCUGUACUGACGCUCAUGCACGAAAGCGUGGGGAGCAAACAGGAUUAGAUACCCUGGUAGUCCACGCCCUAAACGAUGUCAACUGGUUGUUGGGUAUUUACUUACUCAGUAACGAAGCUAACGCGUGAAGUUGACCGCCUGGGGAG
rnacentral:rRNA from 1 species